UACGUAGGUGGCAGGCGUUAUCCGGAAUUAUUGGGCGUAAAGCGCUCGCAGGCGGUCUUUUAAGUCUGAUGUGAAAGCCCACGGCUCAACCGUGGAGGGUCAUUGGAAACUGGGAGACUUGAGUGCAGAAGAGGAGAGUGGAAUUCCACGUGUAGCGGUGAAAUGCGUAGAGAUGUGGAGGAACACCAGUGGCGAAGGCGACUCUCUGGUCUGUAACUGACGCUGAGGCGCGAAAGCCAGGGGAGCAGACGGG
rnacentral:misc_RNA from 1 species